rnacentral:rRNA from 1 species
GGGCCCGCACAAGCGGCGGAGCAUGCGGAUUAAUUCGAUGCAACGCGAAGAACCUUACCAAGCCUUGACAUGCCCGGACGGUUUCCGGAAACGGAUUCCCCCCAGCAAUGGGCCGGGACACAGGUGCUGCA